rnacentral:lncRNA from 1 species
GCCAAAGCAAGAACAAAGGAAGAAAAGAAAGAACAAAAACCCUAGAGUGAAAAUUCAAGAGAAAAUUGAUGGAUUUCAAGUAAUCAAGCAAUCAAAGGUAAAAUUUCUUGAUUUUGACUUGUGAUCUACCUUUCCCAUACAUUCUUUUGCAUUUUUCAUGUUUGAAUCACAUGAUUUAAUGAUGGGUAUCUUGCUGGCCGAACACUUAGAGAGAGAUUUUGAUGGUUGUUUUGGUUAGAUUUUAAGAUAUUCUAGUGUUUUUAGUUGAUUGGUGAUGUGUAGCCUGAAAAUCAAGUAAGAAAAAUUCAUGUUCGCCCAUCACCCAUCAUUGGCCGAAUUCUCCAUGUGGAAUAUUGAUGAUGAUUUUGAUUUUAUUUCAAGUGAAUUGGUUAGGAAAUGAUGAAUUACGGUGAGAAAAUCAAGUAGGAAAAAUCAUAGUAUUGAUGCACCCACUAUGGCCAAAAUUCCCAAGAGAAAAUGUGAAGAUGAUUUUGCUCAAUUUUAUGCUAUUUGACUUGUGUUUGAUGGUUUGGAGAAUUGGAAGUAAAAUGAAAUUAUUUGGAGUUGAAUUGGACGUAUUGGCCAAUUAAUCAUGUGAUAGAUCAAAUUAGGUCAAUACCGUUUUAUUUAGGUACACAAUUGAAUUUGUGUAGAACACCAUGUUUAGACAAUAAUUUGAACAAUUUGCAUCCCAUUUCAUGCAUUAGUAAAGAGCCUGAAAUAGAUUUAUAAUAGUAUGACACAGUAUAUUGAAUUAUAUGUCGUGUAUUAUAUAUAGGUGGUGAACCCUCUAACAAGGGUAAAGACGUUGUGUCAGAGGACUAAGAAUAAGAGUAUUUCAAACUCCUGAUACAGUGAGUAACCUUAUCAUCAUCUUGAUUAUCUGAAGUGAAUUUUAAUUCAUUUUUGUGAUUUUAUGAAAAAUGAGUUUAAAUGGUAAAUCUUUAUGUUUUAUAAGCAAAAAUGUGAUUAAAUGAAAUGACUUUAUAAAAUUGUCUUGAAAUUGAAAGAUGAUUUUGAAAAUGGAGUAAUUGGAGACUAAUUGUUGUGUUAUAAAUCAUGGUUUGAAUUGAAUGGCUUAUGAUAAUAUUGGCAUGAAUGGUUGAACUGGUAAAUGUGCUAAAAAUGUAUGAACUGUUGAUUUGCCUUGAGAGACUGUAAAAUAAAAUAAUUACCAUGUCAUGCUAUUGCAAAUUUUAUUGUAUGGUGAGUUUAGCUUACUGUAGUGGGCGGGUUCUAUGGACCAACCUUUUUGAGGGGCACGAAAUUCUAUUAUAUUCUUACCUCGAUUAGGGAGGUGCGUAGGGUAACUCCCGAGGUACAACUUUAGAUUUCACUUCACACCAAACCACCAGGUGAGGGUGAACUCAACCAACGCCAAGGAACGGCUAUGUUUUCAAUAUAAAAAUAUGAUUUAUGCGUACCUGACUUUUUAACAGCCUUGGCGGACUCAGUUUGGAUAGCCCCAGGCCAAGGUAUCCUUGAUAACUGAGUAUGAAAAUGAUUUUGGCACGAGCCAAACUUUUCAAGAAAUCAUAAGCCUUGUUGUUUAUUUGGGUGAAAUGAAUCUAUUUUAUCUUAUUAAAAUGAGUUCGAAAUGAUGUGAAUCAUUUUUAUACUAAUCUAUUUUAUCUGUCUCCAUUUACUCGGCUUUAGAUAUUUUAGAUGAUAUUUGUCUACUCAUUAGGAUUAUAUAAUCUCACCACCUUCCUUUCCACCCAUUUCAGGCUCAGGAUAGUCUGUAGAUAGCUCAUUUCGUUGAGGGCUACAGUUGGACUUGCAUCCUCAAAAACUGUAGGUUUAUCGCUUUUG